GAAGAACCUUACCUGGUCUUGACAUCCACAGAACUUUUCAGAGAUGGGAAGGUGCCUUCGGGAACCGUGAGACAGGUGCUGCAUGGCUGUCGUCAGCUUGUGUUGUGAAAUGUUGGGUUAAGUCCCGCAACGAGCGCAACCCUUAUCCUUUGUUGCCAGCGGUCCGGCCGGGAACUCAAAGGAGACUGCCAGUGAUAAACUGGAGGAAGGUGGGGAUGACGUCAAGUCAUCAUGGCCCUUACGACCAGGGCUACACACGUGCUACAAUGGCGCAUACAAAGAGAAGCGACCUCGCGAGAGCAAGCGGACCUCAUAAAGUGCGUCGUAGUCCGGAUUGGAGUCUGCAACUCGACUCCAUGAAGUCGGAAUCGCUAGUA
rnacentral:rRNA from 1 species